GCGGAUAGUGGCCGCGAUGGUUCCCCAGAAGCGGCGCUUCGGGGAUUAAUAGGGAACACGAUAGGGACGACCCUGAUGGGGCUCGAUUCGUGGCUGCCCCCGCAACUGUAAGCGGCGAACGUCCGGACAACAAUGCCACUGGAUUUUUCCGGGAAGGCGGUCCGGGUGUCAUGACCCGCGAGCCAGGAGACCUGCCAUCAUCUGUCGUCGCCU
rnacentral:ncRNA from 2 species